rnacentral:rRNA from 1 species
AGUGAACGCUGGCGGUAGGCCUAACACAUGCAAGUCGAACGGCAGCACAGUAAUAGCUUGCUCUUACGGGUGGCGAGUGGCGGGCGGGUGCUGAAUACCUCGGAGUCUGCUUUUUCGUGGGGGAGAACGUAGGGAAACUUACGCUAAUACCGCAUACGACCUACGGGUGAAAGCAGCGGAUCUUCGGACCUUGCGCGAUUGAAUGAGCCGAUGUCGGAUUAGCUAGUUGGAGGGGUAAAGGCCCACCAAGGCGACGAUCCGUAGCUGGUCUGAGAGGAUGAUCAGCCACACUGGAACUGAGACACGGUCCAGACUCCUACGGGAGGCAGCAGUGGGGAAUAUUGGACAAUGGGCGCAAGCCUGAUCCAGCCAUACCGCGUGGGUGAAGAAGGCCUUCGGGUUGUAAAGCCCUUUUGUUGGGAAAGAAAAGCAGUAGGUUAAUACCCCGCUGUUCUGACGGUACCCAAAGAAUAAGCACCGGCUAACUUCGUG